GGUUUGGGUGGACCAGCGGGAGGGAUCAUUACCGAGUUUACAACUCCCAAACCCAUGUGAACAUACCUACUGUUGCUUCGGCGGGAUUGCCCCGGGCGCCUCGUGUGCCCCGGAUCAGGCGCCCGCCUAGGAAACUUAAUUCUUGUUUUAUUUUGGAAUCUUCUGAGUAGUUUUUACAAAUAAAUAAAAACUUUCAACAACGGAUCUCUUGGUUCUGGCAUCGAUGAAGAACGCAGCGAAAUGCGAUAAGUAAUGUGAAUUGCAGAAUUCAGUGAAUCAUCGAAUCUUUGAACGCACAUUGCGCCCGCCAGUAUUCUGGCGGGCAUGCCUGUCUGAGCGUCAUUUCAACCCUCAUGCCCCUAGGGCGUGGUGUUGGGGAUCGGCCAAAGCCCGCGAGGGACGGCCGGCCCCUAAAUCUAGUGGCGGACCCGUCGUGGCCUCCUCUGCGAAGUAGUGAUAUUCCGCAUCGGAGAGCGACGAGCCCCUGCCGUUAAACCCCCAACUUUCCAAGGUUGACCUCAGAUCAGGUAGGAAUACCCGCUGAACUUAAGCAUAUCAA
rnacentral:rRNA from 1 species